UUGCAAUCAAUGAUCGAUGCUAUAAAUUGGUUCGAUUAACAUGGAAUACGGGUUGGUUGUGAGGGUCGGAAGAAUUAGGAAAAGAGACGAAAUCGAAGAUCGAAUUAGAAGGUCUGAUUCUGUUCUAAAAUCCGCUCCAACAACGGAAAGGCUUCGGUCGUGAAGUUCGAAUUCGUAACAUCAGUGCGUUUAUGCAUAACGAAAAGGUGCCAUAAACCAUAUCGCACAUCAAAUCGUUUUGUUUUAGAAGCGUAUCGUCGAAUGGAUCUAUAUAUUUUAGAGGGAAAAAGUAAAAACACGGCCACAAAUUUUAUAUAUAAUAGAGAUGUCAGUUGUUUAUAGAAGCAUGCGAACGGUUACUUAUGGUUGAGCGUAGUAGGAACGCAACGGUUGGGCAUGGUAGGAAGUUUGGUUGAUGGAUCGUACUUACUGGAUGUACCAUACCACACGUACAAGCUCGAUGUUUACGGAUGGCGUUCGAAAUUUUCUUAGGGUUGCCGAAACAAAUCGAUUGAAUAGUGGAAGUGGAUUGAUUUGUUGCCCUUGUACAAUUUGUAAAAAUUUCCAAAGAUUUAACGAUAUCAAAGACAUACAGUUUCAUUUGAAUACACGUGGUUUUAUGCCUAGAUACACAUGUUGGUCAAUGCAUGGGGAAUCACUUACUAACACUAGCACAACGUCAAUCAAUCUAGAUGAUGAUAAUAGGGAGAACAAUGAUUCAAAUAUUGAUGACGAUAAUGACCAUUUUAAUGACCCCAAUGACAACUUAAAUGAAAUGUUUCAUGAUUUAGAGACUAAUAUUGGUGCGGAUGAUCAAGAAAAAUUAC
rnacentral:lncRNA from 1 species